CAGGGGUCGUUUUUAGGGUCAUUUCUCUGUUGAGAACUGCCCUGACAUCACCUCAGCCAGUACUAAGGAACUCUGUUGCUUGGAGACCUGCAUCUUUCUAGCUGUGCUCAGAACAGACAUGAAGCAACAGAUCAACUUGCUUUCAACAGUUCAAAAUCAAAGUAAGGCUGUCCCAAGCGGGCAUGAAAAUUGUGUCAUUCAAACAACAUGUGAACUCCAAUUACGACUCUACAAGUGAUAUCCUUUACUCCUGUAAUCUGCAGUCUUCAUCAUAUCUGUUCAUUGAUUUGAAUGCAUCCAUCAAAUAUUACUGGUGAGAUGAUAAAUCAUAAAGAAAGAUAUACAGAG
rnacentral:lncRNA from 1 species